UUAAGUUCAGCGGGUAUUCCUACCUGAUCCGAGGUCAACCAGAAAAAAUUGGGGGUUUUACGGCCGGGGGGGCAGCACCUAACAGAAGCGAGAUAAAAGAUUACUACGCUCAGAGGACCACUGCCACUCCGCCAAUGUCUUUGAGGAACUACGAAGCCGUAGGUUCCCAACAAUAAGCUGUGCUUAGGGGUUGAAAUGAC
rnacentral:misc_RNA from 1 species